CCUACGGGGGGCAGCAGUGAGGAAUAUUGGUCAAUGGCCGGGAGGCUGAACCAGCCAAGUCGCGUGAGGGAAGACGGCCCUACGGGUUGUAAACCUCUUUUGUCAGGGAGCAAGGUGCAGGUCGGGACCUGCUGUGAGAGUACCUGAAGAAAAAGCAUCGGCAAACUCGGUGCCAGCAGCCGCGGUAAUACGGAGGAUGCGAGCGUUAUCCGGUGUUAUUGGGUUAAAGGGGUGGGCAGGCGGGGGCCAAAGUCAGCGGUAAAAUCGCGGGGCUCAACCCCGCUCCGCCGUUGAAACUGGGUCCCUUGAGUGCGCGAAGGGCAGGCGGAAUGCGUGGUGUAGCGGUGAAAUGCAUAGAUAUCACGCAGAACUCCGAUCGCGAAGGCAGCCUACCGGCGCGCAACUGACGCUCAUGCACGAAAGCGUGGGUAUCGAACAGGAUUAGAUACCCGGGUAGUC
rnacentral:rRNA from 1 species